UAUGGGGUCACCUCUGUUGUUAACCAUAUAUUAAAAGUGUCGUCCCUGUAGUGAAGGUGUUAGUGGUGAUAGUCUACUAACACCUUGUGUAUGGGGUCACCUCUGUUG